rnacentral:rRNA from 1 species
CGCCUCUUGAUUGAACCAUAAGAGGUCCAGCCUGCCCAGUGACAUUGUUCAACGGCCGCGGUAUCCUAACCGUGCGAAGGUAGCGUAAUCACUUGUCCCUUAAAUGGGGACUAGUAUGAAUGGCCACACGAAAGCUAUACUGUCUCCUUUUUCCAAUCAGUUAAACUAAUCUUCCCGUGAAGAAGCGGGAAUAAACAUACAAGACGAGAAGACCCUAUGGAGCUUUAAACAAUUGAAACACUUGCAUUUUAUUUUUAAGCCUACAUUAAACCUCACAUUUUGUUUCUAGUUUUAGGUUGGGGUGACCGCGGAGAAAAGACUAACCUCCACGCUGAAAGAGAUUUUCCCUCUAAACAAAAAGCUACAUCUUUAAGUAUUAAUAUAUUAACCUUAAUUGACCCAAUUUAUUGAUCAACGAACCAAGUUACCCUAGGGAUAACAGCGCAAUCCAUUUCAAGAGCUCUUAUCGACAAAUGGGUUUACGACCUCGAUGUUGGAUCAGGGUGUCCCAGUGGUGCAGCCGCUACUAAUGGUUCGUUUGUUCAACGAUUAAAACCCU